UUCACCUAGAGUUCAAUAUAUUUUACAUUUAAAGGUGCAGUGUGUAAACUUUAGCGGAAUCUAGCGGUAAGUCUAAAAAACAAAGGUUCAAAAAGGGUGUUUUCACAGUGAUGCCAUAGUAAAGAACCAUUUUAUUUCUGAAAGAACGUAUCAGUGAACAGUCCUUAGCAGAACCAUUUUUAUUAGUGUGAAGAACAUUUUAACAUUUUUUUCUCUUUUGUCUACAUCGUCACACACCGGGAGACUUCUAAAAGUGCUUCUUCCCAGUGUUCAAGAAUCGGUGAGUCAUGUGUUUUAAAUACCAAUAAAAGAAGAUGAGACAAUCAUAUUCUAAAGGCGAUUGCAAGGGUUGCUCAUAAACUAGAAGAAUUCUGAUAAAACGUUGCAACUUGUGAUUUGCAGUUCCUGCCCUCUUCUGCCAUCUAGUGUUGAAUGUUUGCAGUUGCAGGCUUAUUCGUCAUAUAAUUAAUGUGUACACACCUCACUUUAGUGCGCUGUCUGUGUAAUUAAUGGUUGAAUUAUAAGACCUGAACAUGGAGGCUGAAUGUGAUUUGUUUACCUCUGAGUUCAAGACGUCCAUCUCUAUCAAUGACUGCUGACUCCAUAACGGCCUGUGUGUCUUCGCCUGACAGAGGCGCCUGGGGUAGGAUACAGACCAUGGACAAAAUAUCAGAGAAAGAUGUUGUUCAGCCAGAGAUGAUGACAAUGCACAAACAGACUGACAAUGUAAAGGUGGGCUCUGAAUGCUUAAAUUACAGUCUUGUGAUGAAUUUCACACUGUUAAAUGACAGCGUGUGGACUCCUCCUGCACCUCUGAGGAUUUCAACUCUGUCAUGAAAUCUAGAAACAUACUGUACUAUUUCUCUGGUGAGAGAGGAAAGGACCCAUUCAAUAACUUGAAGACACUUUAAUGACACAAGAUGUUUUUGCAAGCGUUACAUGCAUCUGAAUUUGAUGCCGCAGUUACAUGAACAUGUAAUGAGUCAAACAAAAAGGAAAAUUUUUAAAAAAAUGUUGGAAUUACCAUUUGACACCAUUGAUAAUAUAUUAUCAUAUACUUUUGGUGUUUUUUUUUCAUCUAUUCAUACAGACAGCUGUGUAUAUAAGAAGAGACUAAACCAUAUCAUUUCACUUCUGAUAAAGCAAAUCAGAAGACCUAAAAAUGAAUUUUGAUUCAGAAACUGAAUGUGUAUUAAAGACUACCAUUUUAAAUAUGGAUACAAAAAAAUUUAAUAAAUAAAUGUCCACAUCAUAUUAUCAAAUUCAUUUAAGGCACUGUCUAGUCAAUAGUACUCUUAUAAUGCAGUGAAUUUUAUCUUGUUGCCUCAUCUGGAAUUUGAUCAAUGUCUUUCUCACUCAGUUUCACCAUCAUGCCCAGAGCAACUUCAUCUGCGGUCCAAAGCCAUCUGCUGUUAUGUCAGCAUAAAGAUAUUUGGAAGUUUCAGUAUCAAAAUAGAUGUAAAGCAACAUUUUAGCUCCAGUAACCCUCUCUACAUGCUUGUGUAAGCAUAAAGUCUUUAAUAAUAAUGACUGACGCAGAGAUGUUAUCAUGUAUAAAUGAGUGUUUGCACGACGGGUGAAAGAUGUUUUAAUAAUUGUAAUGAUCAUUAACUCUCACCAUUUGAAUAAUGAGGGAAAUGAAGUCUUGAGUCUAUGGCUCCUCUGAGAGGCAGCAUCUUACUUCCCCCCCAAAGGCACGACUUGCAAUAUGACUCAUGUGAAUGAAGCAAAAGUGUGGCCUUAAAAGACCUGGUUGGAGACCUGACAGAAACAGCAUUGUUGUUCUAGUUUUGCCACCAAUAACCUGUGAAUUUAUGCAAUUAAAUAGUAUGUUCUUUGAUAAUC